rnacentral:rRNA from 1 species
AACGCUAGCUACAGGCUUAACACAUGCAAGUCGCGGGGUAACGAGAGGGAAGCUUGCUUUCCUUGUCGACGACCGGCGCACGGGUGAGUAACGCGUAUCCAACCUGCCCAUUACCACGGGAUACCCCGUCGAAAGGCGGCCCAAUACCGUAUGCAGUCGUCAGAUGACAUCAGAGGACGACGAAAGGAUUGGCGGUAAUGGAUGGGGAUGCGUCUGAUUAGGCAGUUGGAGGGGAAACGGCCCACCAAGCCAUCGAUCAGUAGGGGUUCUGAGAGGAAGGUCCCCCACAUUGGAACUGAGACACGGUCCAAACUCCUACGGGAGGCAGCAGUGAGGAAUAUUGGUCAAUGGGCGCGAGCCUGAACCAGCCAAGUAGCGUGAGGGAUGACGGCCCUAUGGGUUGUAAACCUCUUUUAUGCGGGAAUAAAAUGUUUGACGUGUCAUACAUUGUAGGUACCGCAAGAAUAAGGACCGGCUAAUUCCGUGCCAGCAGCCGCGGUAAUACGGAAGGUCCAGGCGUUAUCCGGAUUUAUUGGGUUUAAAGGGAGUGUAGGCCGCAAGUCAAGCGUGUUGUGAAAUGCAGGGGCUCAACCUCUGGAUUGCAGCGCGAACUGGCAUGCUUGAGUACGCACGAGGUAGGCGGAAUUUGUGGUGUAGCGGUGAAAUGCUUAGAUAUCACGAAGAACUCCGAUUG